GUCUCCGGCCAUACCACCCUGAACGCACCCAAUGUCGUCUGAUCUCGGAAGCUAAGCAGGGUCGGGCCUGGUUAGUACUUGGAUGGGAGAUA
rnacentral:rRNA from 1 species